UUGGGGCCGACUAAUCUGAAACCACUUAUUUUAUAUGUGUGUGAUUUGCCAUGCUGAGUAGAGGAAGCAGGCAAGAUUCACCAUCAUGCACUGACCCUCGCUCAAGAGAUUAAUAUUUUUCAUUUGAAUCCAUUUUUUAGCCUCAAGAUUUAGAUGAAAUCCCAGGCAAGAAAUACCUUGGAUUGCCUAACACCGUGCUCUGAGGCUACACAGGUGUCAGCAGUAAACUCUAUGGCUGUUAUGUCCUGGGAAAGACUGAGAACAGACUGUGAUAUCUUACACCUGUCCCAGAUGGUCCAACGUCCUACUGCAAGAACAUCCAAGUAGCCAGAAGGAAAUAAGAAGAGUUCUUUCAUAUGGAAGGAGCCAGCACAAUCGCAUGAAAGGAGAAAGGACAGGCAACCCCAUUGCCCAGCAGAGAAGAAUCCGCUGAGAGCUGGAAGUGCUUCAGCUGCAUCACGGGGCAUGUCUCUCUCCAGAUUUGGACAAUAAUGAGCCUGGCACUGUGCCGUGGGGUGGGUGCGGGGCUGAGCUUUCCCAGUGUGCUCACCCCACUCACCUCGAGGGCACCAUGUCUCCCUGCGGCUGCCUGUGGCUCAUAUAUUCCUCUACUCUCCUGCUGUAGGCCACACUGCUGGGCAGAGGUUGGCUGAUGGUAUUUUCCUUUGCUUGACUCUGACAUUACAGAUAGCAGAGAUAGUCUUCUUUUAUGUCUUCAUCUUCAGCUAGAGAGGCAAACACAGAGGGUGUUAUUUCAUUCACAAUAUUGGAACUGAGUAAACUAAAGGUGUGACAUGGAGCAAGAGAACUCAGAACAGGGCAGCUCAUAGCACAUGCUCACUAAAUAUUUGUUUAAUGGGGGUGGGGAAUAAGGCUCAGAGACACCCAAUAAUUGGGUAAGGGAAAGGGAGAAGCGAUAGACAAGACGCAUGAGUGACAGUGUCCCUGUGUGAGAAGCUCAUGUUUUAAUAGAGCCUUUGAAUGUGUGUGUUUGGUUUGGUCUGAUAAACAUUCUUGAGUAUUAAAUGCUAAACAAGUGGCUGACAUUUGAGCAGUAAGGCCUGUGUGUUGCUUACUUGUGAAGCCCUACUCUAUUAAAGGUAAUGACGAA